AUCAGCCUGGACUAUGGGAAGAAAGAGGAAAAUCCUAUGAAAGACAUGUAUUUUUACCGUAAGCAAAACCCCAACGAGGCCAUCAGCAUUGAACAGCACGAGGUGUCACAUCUUCUGCCGGAGAAGUUCUUUGAACAAAUUGUUCGAGUUUACUGCAGGAAGGCAGACAAUAAGAAAGUUCAAGAAGCCAAGAUGAAAUUUGAGAAUAGCUUUAAAGAGUUUGAAAGAAGUCAAACCGCAGCAUAAAAGCCUGUGUCGGACA